rnacentral:rRNA from 1 species
CCUACGGGGUGCUGCAGUAGGGAAUCUUCCACAAUGGGCGAAAGCCUGAUGCAGCAACGCCGCGUGGGUGAAGAAGGUCUUCGGAUCGUAAAACCCUGUUGUUAGAGAAGAAAGUGCGUGAGAGUAACUGUUCACGUUUCGACGGUAUCUAACCAGAAAGCCACGGCUAACUACGUGCCAGCAGCCGCGGUAAUACGUAGGUGGCAAGCGUUAUCCGGAUUUAUUGGGCGUAAAGGGAACGCGGGCGGUCUUUUAAGUCUGAUGUGAAAGCCUUCGGCUUAACCGGAGUAGUGCAUUGGAAACUGGGAGACUUGAGUGCAGAAGAGGAGAGUGGAACUCCAGGUGUAGCGGUGAAAUGCGUAGAUAUAUGGAAGAACACCAGUGGCGAAAGCGGCUCUCUGGUCUGUAACUGACGCUGAGGUUCGAAAGCGUGGGUAGCAAACAGGAUUAGAUACCCCUGUAGUC